AUGAAGAUACCUGAAUAUCGGAGUAUUCUAGCUGCAGGAAAGGUAAAGCACAAGUAAAGAAAAAGCAGCCUUCUUCUGCAUUGCCCCCCGGUGUGCUUUAACUGUGACCUCAAGGAGCCAUAUCUAGAUAGGAGAGGGAGUUCAGUUUCCAAGGCCCAUUCAAUCCUAAGCUCCU
rnacentral:sRNA from 1 species